GAUGAACGCUGGCGGCGUGCCUAAUACAUGCAAGUCGAGCGAACGGACGAGAAGCUUGCUUCUCUGAUGUUAGCGGCGGACGGGUGAGUAACACGUGGAUAACCUACCUAUAAGACUGGGAUAACUUCGGGAAACCGGAGCUAAUACCGGAUAAUAUUUUGAACCGCAUGGUUCAAAAGUGAAAGACGGUCUUGCUGUCACUUAUAGAUGGAUCCGCGCUGCAUUAGCUAGUUGGUAAGGUAACGGCUUACCAAGGCAACGAUGCAUAGCCGACCUGAGAGGGUGAUCGGCCACACUGGAACUGAGACACGGUCCAGACUCCUACGGGAGGCAGCAGUAGGGAAUCUUCCGCAAUGGGCGAAAGCCUGACGGGGCAACGCCGCGUGAGUGAUGAAGGUCUUCGGAUCGUAAAACUCUGUUAUUAGGGAAGAACAUAUGUGUAAGUAACUGUGCACAUCUUGACGGUACCUAAUCAGAAAGCCACGGCUAACUACG
rnacentral:rRNA from 1 species